rnacentral:rRNA from 1 species
UACAGAGGGGGCAAGCGUUGUUCGGAAUUACUGGGCGUAAAGGGCGCGUAGGCGGCCUUCUAAGUCGAACGUGAAAUCCCCGGGCUCAACCCGGGAACUGCGUCCGAUACUGGAAGGCUUGAAUCCGGGAGAGGGAUGCGGAAUUCCAGGUGUAGCGGUGAAAUGCGUAGAUAUCUGGAGGAACACCGGUGGCGAAGGCGGCAUCCUGGACCGGCAUUGACGCUGAGGCGCGAAAGCGUGGGGAGCGAGCCGG